CGCACCGCAUAUACAAUCGUACAUGGGAAUAACAUUAGUAACGUGUUUGUGUUCCACAUUUACAGCCCCAAAAGCAGCGUAAAAGCUUUCUUCGUAAUUUUCAAAAACGCCGGAACACUCAGAAAGGCAUCUGGUAUACUUCAGUUAGACGAGCAUUAUUAUUUAUAUGGGUAACUUUUCAGAAACGUUAUUAAAGAUAAAAGUGCCGUCCAUUUCGAUGGAAGGAAGAAGAGUUUAUAGCUCAGCUUUUAUACUUUAUUCUCGAACUAAAGGGUGUUUAUUGAUUUUGUGCAAUGUCCGUUUUACUGUCCCCAAAGACUGCGAAUUUAAAAUAUAAUGUAACAUUAAUUAAUAAAGAAUUACAGGCUGCGCACAAAAAUAUUUUCAUUGUUAGGUAGUAUUAGGUUUAGAUAUAAUAAUUGAAUAUUCAUCCAUAUGUAGAAGUUCCUCUACGAAUUGAUCCUACAAGUAUUGUAGCGUAAUAUGACGGAGAGAUCAAAUUUAGCACCUUGUUCAUUGUUGAUCUUGUCGACAGACUUAUACAUGACUUAUACACACAUAUAUAGGAAGUACUGGACUUGUUUAACUACAAUUUAAUAGCAAGCGAAUAUUAGGCAGUCGACCACCCUCGGUUGUAAGGUUGACAGAUAUUUUUAUAUAUAUAGAGCUUUUAUACUGCAUUAAUAUACUUAUAUAAAUCUCUCUCAAAAUUAUUUAACUGUAUCAUAAGCAAAUGAACCCGUUCCAGUGAAAGUAGCAACAGAGCAUGUUGGUAAAAUAAAUAAAUAAAUACAUAGAGAGGAUAUGGAGUAGGAAUUAUGAAAUUAUAGAAUCAGAUAUGACAAUAGGUUGAUUAUAAAAAUGAAAAAAAAAUUAUAAAUAAAAAAUGUUUCCACAAUUUACAUGACUAUGAUACAACAUAUCUCACAGCACAGACUUAUCUUAUUUUAUUAAAAUUUCAUUUGCUAAUUUUAAGAGCUUGUUACGUAGCUUUAAAAAAAACCAUGACUCGCAAAGAUUUGCCUAAAUCAUCGUUGCUAAUGAACUCAACUGUUGCACUUAUUAAUGGAAAUAUUAUAAAUGGAUGAUUUUAAUACGCGUCUCUCAAAUAUAACCGCCAUAAAGUUAUACGAUAUACGAUCCCAUCCAUCCAUAUGAUUGAGACGCGUUCAUUCACAUUUACAAUCACUGGCAGAUAGAGAUAAGUCAACUGAAUGUUUGACACCUAUUAUCAGGUCUUGUUCAUUUUUAGAGGUUACUAGUAAUCUCUUGUUAUUACAGGGUAAUAUCUAUAUUGCUGUGGAACGUAUAAUAGUUAAACAUCAACAGAAUUUCAGCUGGUUCUGGUCCUAUACCGUUAGAUAUCAACGUUAUGUUGGGUUUGGUCCGUUCAUUGUAUAUGAAUAAAAUAGAAAAGUAAACAAACAACUUUUCAUGAUCUCAUGAUCAGCGUAAGAGACAAACUAUCAAGCCUCGGUUUGAUAGGAAGCUAUUCCACAAAUGUGUUAUUCGAAAUUCGCUAUGAAAUAUUUUAUUAUCAGAAUAUUUAAGUAUUUCAUUGUACAUUUUAUUAUAUUAAAUUGAUAUCAGUGCUGUUGAAAUUGAGGCAACAAUGGGUAUAAUGAAAAUUGUAACUUUAAUUUUUUCACAUACUCAGUUUACACUUUAUAUUGAUGAAAAUUAGUUUUAUAAAUAUUAGCAGUGCAGCUACAAGGAAUGAAUCAAGUAAACCCUUGACUUUAAAUUGUGUACAAAUCGAUUCAAUAAAAUUUGAUGAACCGUUUCAAUGAAAGCGUCAAUCGAUUUAUAUAAAUAUAAUAAAUUACAUAAAAAUGUUAUCAUAUUAUUGUAGUUAAACCUAAUUAUCGGUUGUUGGCUUUAUUUUCAGCUUAAUUUUAACUUUCUGAUUUACUGCUUGUACACACAAUUUU